AUUGAACGCUGGCGGCAUGCUUUACACAUGCAAGUCGAACGGUAACAGGUUAAGCUGACGAGUGGCGAACGGGUGAGUAAUGCAUCGGAACGUGCCCGAUCGUGGGGGAUAACGCAGCGAAAGCUGCGCUAAUACCGCAUACGAUCUGAGGAUGAAAGCGGGGGACCGUAAGGCCCCGCGCGAUCGGAGCGGCCGAUGUCAGAUUAGGUAGUUGGUGGGGUAAAGGCCCACCAAGCCGACGAUCUGUAGCUGGUCUGAGAGGACGACCAGCCACACUGGGACUGAGACACGGCCCAGACUCCUACGGGAGGCAGCAGUGGGGAAUUUUGGACAAUGGGCGAAAGCCUGAUCCAGCAAUGCCGCGUGCAGGAAGAAGGCCUUCGGGUUGUAAACUGCUUUUGUACGGAGCGAAAAGGUCCUUUCUAAUACAAGGGGCUCAUGACGGUACCGUAAGAAUAAGCACCGGCUAACUACGUGCCAGCCGCCGCCGUAAGAC
rnacentral:rRNA from 1 species